ensembl:ncRNA lncRNA:CR45523 long non-coding RNA:CR45523
CGUGCGCAGCGAUAAGGAAACACAAAGGACCUCACAAGGAUGACGUGAGAAAGUGCCCAAAUCAUGAGAGAGAGGGGGGGAGGGGGAGAUACAAAGUUUAGUCGAAUUAUCGAUUGGUAUUGCAGACCUCUUCUAGUACCCACUAAUAUCUAAAAAAAACAAGCAGCUCUUUAUGAUUGAAGAUGGAUCUUUACUAACAUCAGCAACUUUCAGUGUAGCUCUGGUAUCAUUAUCAUAUAUUGAACGCUGUAGAAUUGCAUCUUACUACUAUUCUAAUAUUAGGAACUCUCCGUUCGCUUUAGGAUCAUUAUCAUUGAUCUUAUAUAUUGAGAAGCGCAGUCUUGGUCCUUUGAACAGCUACUCUCAUAACCCUUCACCAUCGCGGAAACGUAAUAAACACUCAUCUCAACCCGGAUCUGGAGCCGCGAGGAGCUAAUGACGCCAUCCGACAACUUGGGCCAGUGCAGAAAAUCAAUUAAAUACAAGGAGCAAUAUGCCCACAAUGUAAUGACCGACCACCAGUGACCAGUUGACCCACGACCACCACCACCACCACCACUACCACCAUCAGUCGCCCAUGAUGAAGGCUGGCAUAAUAAUGAUAAACUGUCAAAACUACACGAUAUGCCAGAUCAUAUCUGCGGAUUGCAAUCCCCGCUGGCCAGGAGCAAACCACCACCGCCACCAGCACCGGCAGGUCGGAUCGGAUGUGGUGGUACCCACGCGCCCAACACAUUAACACGGCCCAAGGAUCGAGGACCUGACUGUCGAUCGCAACUUUAUGACUCCUAUUCGUUCGCUUUUCCACAACCAUUUGCAUCGUUUUGGUGC